CUUUCCAUGACGUCAAAAGACGAGAUAUUCGAACAUGGUGAAACCAUUGACCCGCUAAGGAUCACCGUACAAGAUCUUGUCGUGAGUGGUCAAGGGGACACAGUGGUCACCAUCCUGAUAGAUCUGAAUGGGUUCUGGAUGUACGAGAAUCGUGAAGUACUGGUCAACGAACCUUCCGAACCAACCCCAAGCGGUUGACAUGUUCUACACUAGAUGGCGCUCACAGUUGAACUACGAGGAAAACCAGUGAUCAGGUUUUCAUUCAAACUCCACGACAGAUGGCGCUCUCGCUCUGGCUCAAUUCUACGUAUAUUCUGGUAUAUCCUGAGUGUGGGAAGGGGGCGCUGCAUGCAGUUUGGUUUUCAUUGUACAGAUAAGAGUACUGUUGUUGUUUCAUGCUUGUAUCUCCAGUACAUAAAUGCUGGAUGGGCUCGAGAAGUCGUUUCACUCGUUCUAUGUGUGCACGGCCGUGCGAAAGUUCUUCUUCUUCUUGGAUCCGAUGCGAACGGGCCGAGUGAAGAUACAAGACAUCCUUGUGUGCAGCUUCCUUGACGACCUGCUUGA